rnacentral:rRNA from 1 species
GUCUACGGCCAUACCACCCUGGACGCGCCGGAUGUCGUUGGAUCUCGGAAGCUAAGCAGGGUCGGGCCUGGUUAGUACUAGGAUGGGAGAGAGAAGGGGAAGCAGACU